CCUACGGGAGGCAGCAGUGAGGAAUAUUGGUCAAUGGGAGAGAUCCUGAACCAGCCAAGCCGCGUGAGGGAAGACGGCCCUAUGGGUUGUAAACCUCUUUUGUCGGAGAACAAAACCCGGGACGUGUCCCGGACUGCGUGUAUCCGAAGAAAAAGCAUCGGCUAACUCCGUGCCAGCAGCCGCGGUAAUACGGAGGAUGCGAGCGUUAUCCGGAUUUAUUGGGUUUAAAGGGUGCGUAGGCGGUCCGUUAAGUCAGCGGUAAAAGUGCGGGGCUCAACCCCGUCGAGCCGUUGAAACUGGCAGACUUGAGUUGGCGAGAAGUACGCGGAAUGCGCGGUGUAGCGGUGAAAUGCAUAGAUAUAGCGCAGAACUCCGAUUGCGAAGGCAGCGUACCGGCGCCAGACUGACGCUGAGGCACGAAAGCGUGGGGAUCGAACAGGAUUAGAUACCCUAGUAGUC
rnacentral:rRNA from 1 species